GUUGACAGAGAGACCUGUUGGACAUUAUUGAAACUUGGGUAAUCAUUGACAAUAUGGUCUGAUUGCAUUAUUGGCCAAAACGAGGUUUAUGAUCUCUCUCUCUUGCUCCUGUGUGAAUAUGGGGCCCCUCCCUCCUUGGUGUUCUGGACGUUCAGUCCUAUGUUGGCCUAACAGAAUACAGGUAGCUUACUGUAAAAUGAUACAGGAACAGAUACCAAAACUGUUGAUAUAGUACAUGCAGUAAGCUAUGGAUUUUCUGUUGAGAGAAGAUACGUUUCUCACCUGUGCAGGUACACAGUGGCAUCACUAUUGAUGCCACUGUGUACCUGCUUAGGUUAGUCUGUACUCUCAGUCCAGCCUCCCUCAGUGUUAGUCUGUACUCUCAGUCCAGCCUCCCUCAGUGUCAGUCUGUACUCUCAGCCCAGUCUCCCUCAGUGUUAGUCUGUACUCUCAGUCCAGCCUCCCUCAGUGUCAGUCUGUACUCUCAGCCCAGCCUCCCUCAGUGUCAGUCUGUACUCUCAGUCCAGUCUCCCUCAGUGUUAGUCUGUACUCUCAGCCCAGCCUCCCUCAGUGUCAGUCUGUACUCUCAGCCCAGUCUCCCUCAGUGUCAGUCUGUACUCUCAGUCCAGUCUCCCUCAGUGUUAGUCUGUACUCUCAGCCCAGUCUCCCUCAGUGUCAGUCUGUACUCUCAGUCCAGUCUCCCUCAGUGUUAGUCUGUACUCUCAGUCCAGCCUCCCUCAGUGUCAGUCUGUACUCUCAGUCCAGCCUCCCUCAGUGUCAGUCUGUACUCUCAGUCCAGUCUCCCUCAGUGUCAGUCUGUACUCUCAGUCCAGUCUCCCUCAGUGUCAGUCUGUACUCUCAGUCCAGCCUCCCUCAGUGUUAGUCUGUACUCUCAGCCCAGUCUCCCUCAGUGUCAGUCUGUACUCUCAGUCCAGUCUCCCUCAGUGUUAGUCUGUACUCUCAGUCCAGCCUCCCUCAGUGUCAGUCUGUACUCUCAGUCCAGCCUCCCUCAGUGUCAGUCUGUACUCUCAGUCCAGUCUCCCUCAGUGUCAGUCUGUACUCUCAGUCCAGUCUCCCUCAGUGUUAGUCUGUACUCUCAGUCCAGCCUCCCUCAGUGUUAGUCCGUGGUUUAUUACAUGGCCCACAAUUGUAGCACAAAUUUCGUUACACAGAUUUGGUUGUCUUUUUCUUUGUGCAUGUCCUACCCCUCCUCCAGGUCUUCCUUUCCCUCUUCUUCUCCCUCUUCCUCUUCCUCCACCUUGUUCUCUCUGGAUUACCUCAUCCACACUCUCCUUCUUCCUCUGACACUGUCACAUUUUUUUUAAGACAGGUGAACUUACCUGUUGCCUUUUUAUAGUGCUUAAACCUGAUUGGUGUGGCUACAAUUAAGCACCAGUGUGUGUGCACACCUGGUGGCUGUGUUUAACCAGUUGGUUCAUGGGUGUGUUCAUUUGAAAGCCUUUGCUUUGAAAUUGCAAGGAAAUGACACAUUUCUGUGUCAAAUGCGUACAAGUGUGUUUAGUGUUUUUCAAAUCACGGUGCCAAAUUCUGUCAUCUGCUUCAGCCCACAUAUGCAUAACCUGCUUGUGUUGGGGACUUCAGAGGAGGAACAGAAUAUGAGCUGUUCAGUCUAGAGCUGAAUAGGCUGUUGUGGACACUGCCUUCAGAGGUCACAUUAGUAAUAAUCUGGACCAGUACCAACCACACUUAUAAUUGGUUGAUGUAAGUCUUUUUAAUUAGUUGAUGCAAGUCUUUAUAAUCGGUUGAUAUAAAUCCUAAUCAUUUUUUCUUUAUUUUCUUUACGUUCUUGUAAUGUUGCUUAUAGGAGGCAGGAUGCAGGCGUGGGGAUAACGGAGGACUCUUAAAGAGAACUAAGUCUAAGACAUGAUAAAACUGAAACAAAGACAAGAAAACAAACAACGUUGCAUAGGAACAAAACCAAACAAUGACCGACAACAUACACUAGAGAAGGAAGAACCUAAAUAGUGACAGUGACAAGGAACACAAGUGAGGGCAAUGACAACCAACCAGGUUGGACUUCACUGCCAUGCCGUGGCUGGGUGUGGCACUGCGGGGCAGGAGAGGUAAACCCAAGUGGCAACUCACAGUUCUUAUGUAGCUACACCUCUGACACCACCAUGUUACACCAGUGACAUCUCUGACGCCACAAAGAAAUGUUACACAAUUGACACCACUGCAUUACGCCGGUUACAGCUCGGACACCACAAAAACACCAUGUUAUACCACUGAUACCAUCAUGUUACGCCAGUUACACUUCUGACACCACCAAAACACCAUGUUACACCUCUGACACCACCAUGUUUUCAUAAUAAAACAAACCUUUUU
ensembl:lncRNA